rnacentral:rRNA from 1 species
UACGAAGGGGGCUAGCGUUGUUCGGAAUUACUGGGCGUAAAGCGCACGUAGGCGGACUAUUAAGUCAGGGGUGAAAUCCCGGGGCUCAACCCCGGAACUGCCUUUGAUACUGGUAGUCUCGAGUCCGGAAGAGGUGAGUGGAAUUCCGAGUGUAGAGGUGAAAUUCGUAGAUAUUCGCAAGAACACCAGUGGCGAAGGCGGCUCACUGGCCCGGUACUGACGCUGAGGCACGAAAGCGUGGGGAGCAAACAGG